AUUGAACGCUGGCGGCAGGCCUAACACAUGCAAGUCGAACGGUAACAGGAAACAGCUUGCUGUUUCGCUGACGAGUGGCGGACGGGUGAGUAAUGUCUGGGAAACUGCCUGAUGGAGAGGGAUAACUACUGGAAACGGUAGCUAAUACCGCAUAACGUCGCAAGACCAAAGAGGGGGACCCUCGGGCCUCUUGCCAUCGGAUGUGCCCAGAUGGGAUUAGCUUGUUGGUGGGGUAACGGCUCACCAAGGCGACGAUCCCUAGCUGGUCUGAGAGGAUGACCAGCCACACUGGAACUGAGACACGGUCCAGACUCCUACGGGAGGCAGCAGUGGGGAAUAUUGCACAAUGGGCGCAAGCCUGAUGCAGCCAUGCCGCGUGUAUGAAGAAGGCCUUCGGGUUGUAAAGUACUUUCAGCGGGGAGGAAGGGAGUAAAGUUAAUACCUUUGCUCAUUGACGUUACCCGCAGAAGAAGCACCGGCUAACUCCGCG
rnacentral:rRNA from 1 species